AUUGAACGCUGGCGGCAGGCCUAACACAUGAAAGUCGAGCGGAGCGGCGGACGGGUGAGUAAUGCCUAGGAAUCUGCCUGGUAGUGGGGGAUAACGUCCGGAAACGGGCGCUAAUACCGCAUACUAUCAGAUGAGCCUAGGUCGGCUUAGCUAGUUGGUGGGGUAAAGGCCUACCAAGGCGACGAUCCGUAACUGGUCUGAGAGGAUUAUCAGUCACACUGGAACUGAGACCCGGUCCAUGCUCCUACGGGGUGGAGCCGUGGGGAAUAUUUGGCCAUGGGCGCAAGCCUUAUCCAGCCCUUCCGGGUGUCUGAAGGAGGUCUUCGGAUUGUAAAGCACUUUAAGUUGGGAGGCGUUACCAGCAGAAUAAGCACCGGCUAACUUCGUGCCAGCCGCCGCGGUAAUAC
rnacentral:rRNA from 1 species